ACUCCUACGGGAGGCAGCAGUGGGGAAUAUUGGACAAUGGGCGGAAGCCUGAUCCAGCAACGCCGCGUGAGGGAUGACGGCCUUCGGGUUGUAAACCUCUUUCACCGAUGGCGAAGCCGUCCCUUUUUGGGGGUGGUGUAGCGGUAGUCGGAGAAGAAGCACCGGCCAACUACGUGCCAGCAGCCGCGGUAAUACGUAGGGUGCGAGGCGUUGUCCGGAAUUAUUUGGGC
rnacentral:rRNA from 1 species